rnacentral:ncRNA from 1 species
GUGUUGGUGGGAAGGAGAGAUGGUUGGCAUCUCCUCUGACAUAAACGGGACUGACCUAUAUGUUUUUGAAGUUUGAACACAUCUGGUUAAGGUUCUCCACCCUCAUAACUGU